rnacentral:tRNA from 1 species
GCCCGGGUGGCGAAACGGCAGACGCAUCGGACUUAAAAUCCGAAGGAGUGUAACAGCUCCGUGUGGGUUCGAAUCCCGCCUCGGGCACCG